CCCUUAGAUGUUCUGGGCCGCACGCGCGCUACACUGACUACUUCAACGAGUUGUUUCCUUGAUCGAAAGGUCUGGGUAAUCUUUGAAAGGUAGUCGUGAUGGGGAUAGAUCCUUGCAAUUUUUGAUCUUCAACGAGGAAUUCCUAGUAAACGCAAGUCAUCAGCUUGCAUUGAUUACGUCCCUGCCCUUUGUACACACCGCCCGUCGCACCUACCGAUUGAAUGGUCCGGUGAAUCUUUAGGACUGUGGCUGAGGCCUUGCCUUGUGCGGGUCUGGCCGUGGGAAUUUAGUUAAACCUUACCGUUUAGAGGAAGGUGAAGUCGUAACA
rnacentral:rRNA from 1 species